CUCGACAUAAAAGAGCCUUCCUACCUUCAGCCCGAUAGCCUGGUGAGCUGCCAGAGUAACUGCGAUGGAUCCAUCUAAUGAGAAGCAGGCAAGGAAGCCCGGCAGAGCUCUGCAGCCGACCAGCAGCAGCGGGCAGCAGAGGGAGCUGUGCUGCACAGGGCACACACACGGCACGCAGCCGGGCUGUCCCAGCGCCGGGGGAACGGCAGGAAGUGACAUGGAGCACAUCCCCAGCGAGACUUCCUAACGGGCACUGAAGGAGAAUGAAAUGCAACACUUCAAAAGAUGCCUCUAAUUAAGGGAAAAAAAAGUGACUAUUUCAAGAAAAACUUGACACCAGAGUCACCUCUUGGAGGCAUUUUGUGAUCUGCUGCUGAAAGUACAGAGACUGCUGGUAAGGAGCAUGGAAAGAGCAGAGUAGGACACGUCACAGAUGCAGCCAUCUGAGUGCAGUGUUCAAGGACACGAUGUUUUCAGCACCAGAAGUCCCACUCCCAUAACUUCA
rnacentral:lncRNA from 1 species